rnacentral:rRNA from 1 species
GUGGGGAAUCUUGCGCAAUGGGCGAAAGCCUGACGCAGCCAUGCCGCGUGAAUGAUGAAGGUCUUAGGAUUGUAAAAUUCUUUCACCGGGGACGAUAAUGACGGUACCCGGAGAAGAAGCCCCGGCUAACUUCGUGCCAGCAGCCGCGGUAAUACGAAGGGGGCUAGCGUUGCUCGGAAUUACUGGGCGUAAAGGGCGCGUAGGCGGACAGUUUAGUCAGAGGUGAAAGCCCAGGGCUCAACCUUGGAAUUGCCUUUGAUACUGGCUGUCUUGCGUACGGGGGAGGUGAGUGGAACUCCGAGUGUAGAGGUGAAAUUCGUAGAUAUUCGGAAGAACACCAGUGGCGAAGGCGACUCACUGGCCCGUUACUGACGCUGAGGCGCGAAAGCGUGGGGAGCAAACAGGAUUAGAAACCCUAGUAGUCC